GCGUAGGGUGGUAGAGUAGAGAGAAACGCGAUGGGAGCGGAGGAGAGGACAGAAGCAAGGAUACCGGAGAGAAAGAGGGGUUAGGAGACAGCUGCAGGCCAUGCGAGGGUCCGCCGACCAAGCCUGGCCGUUUACCGCGGAAUACACGGCGAGCGAGCGAGCGCGCGCGCGAGAUAGAACCAACACCAAUGAGAGAGCGAGAAAGAGAUAGAAGAAAGGAGAGUAUACGCGAUACGCGAGUGAUAGAGAGAGAGAGAGAGAAAGAGAGAGAGAGAGAUGAUUUUUGCAAAUCGAUCGUUUUCGUCGAGGCUCGUCGUAACGAUUUCUGACAACCUACAAUCUUUCGAUGCAAAACUAUAUAUAUAUAUAUAUAAAAUAAAAAAGUUGUUACUUUUUCGAAUCUAUGGACAAACACAUGAUUUUUGUAGCGAGCGUUCUCGCAACGAUUCUACCUCUCGUUUUGUUAACGGGUUUUUUUCUUUUCUUUUUCUUUUUUUUUUCUUUUACUACUAUUCAUUUUAAGUUCGUUAAUAAAAUAAACUAUGUUUAUAUAUAUAUACACAUACAGACAUAUAUAUAUAUAUAUAUAUAUAUAGAUAUAUUUGCCGUCUCGGCGAGAAAGAGAAAAAAUUUGUUAAAGAAAAAGAAGAGAAAAAGAGACCAGAGGCACGAAGGGGAUCUCGCAUCGCUCGGCGGAAUCGUUAUUCGCGCUUACGUAGCUUUUUAUUAAUAAAAAAAGAAAAAAAGAGAAAAAAAGACAAGAAAAAGAAAAGGAAACAAAAAAAAAGAAAGAAAA